CCUGCUUCUAUGGAAGAAGAAGCUCUGAGGCGUUCGAGCUGAUUCUGCGGACAAAACCAGGACGGAGCACAGUGCUUGAAAAAUGUGAAGAAACUGGGACGUUGUGUGGAACGAGGAAGAUAGUUAACAUUCUGGCAACACACAUGGUUGAGACUGAAGGGUAAGUUUCUUAAAACGACGGUAUAGAUAGGACUGUAAGGACGAGCGAAAUUGUGUGAAAUUGGAAAGAUAAAACGAAUACAGAAGUAAUUGGCAUAUAGGUAAAAUGUCUGUGAACAUCAUUUACCUCUUUGUGGGAUUAUCACGUCUCUGUUCUCUACUCGUCUCAAACCUUCCUCAUUCGUGUCCGUAACCGUAAAGCUAAGCUCUGACUGCCACCUCUUUACAACACAUUUUGAAUCUUUAAUCAUUACAAGUAAUCAAAAACAUUUACAGAAAUCCUCCCAGAAUAGACGGCGGGUCUUUAUGGCAGAAUUACCGCGACAUUUCUGAAUCCUUCCCUCAAUGGCCUCUCUUUGGCGUUUGAGCUGCUGAAUAAUAGAUUUGAAUUUCAUCCGACCCCCCGAAUAACAAAUACAUUUUACAUAUACAGCUCGUCUUCUCAAUAUUGCCUGACAUCGUAGGAUAGUUAUGUCUUAACUUUCUCUUUCAACACGCUGUAAUGACGUUAGAUUCAGGCGGAUACGUUGGCCUCUGGUGAUUGGUUAGCGAGAAAUCGAACC